UCGGCUUCACUUCCCCCUUUGGCGGAGGGAAGGGUGCAGGGAAGCCUGGUAAAAACAGAGUUGAAGGGGAUAGGUUUCGGGAGCUGAGGGUUUGAAGUUCACGACUCCUACAAGGGGAGGGAAAUGAAAGUCUCUCAGUGAAGCAGGGGUCACUGAGGCGCCAUUUGUUUCCUCAUUUCCUGUACGCCUUUGCAGUGUCCAGAACCCUUCAAAUUCACUUACCAAUAAGUUCAUUAUGUAAACAGAUAAAUGUGGCUGAAAUGGGGAAGGAUGAGAGUCAUUCCAACCUGCCAAGAUCUCCUACCCCAUCUCUACUCUCCACAUAGGGGAGGUUCCAGAGAGUACUUUGAAAACCAUUAGGAAAAUUAAUUCCUUCAUAAAUGACUUGAAAUGCCAUGUCUGUAAUAUGCUACAUUAAAAUUUUUACCUAUUCAAUCACUUUUGUAUUUUUCUGCUAACCUCAUACUUUAAGGAGUCUAUAGUCUUUAUAAUAUAACAAAAGAAAUAGAAAUAUCUAGAAGUUAAAUAACAACAUGGGGUUCUUUAGGGGCUGGUAAAAUUAGCAUGUUUCUUUAAAAUUAUGUCUAUUAUUGGCAGGAGUUGGCUAAAUACCUUCAGUAUAGAGAUUAACUUCGUAAUGUACAUAUGGUUGAUAAUUUGAUAAUGUUUGUCGCCAGUUUACAAUGUUGAUAUUGUUUGAUCCACCAAAAUCACUUGCAGAAGUCAACCCUGAAGAAAUAACCAGACAAUGCAUCCUCUUAUUGCCUGCUUUCGUUCCUGCUGACUUAACACUGCCUAACCCUCUUCAGUAUUCCUGCUGAUAGGCAAAAGAAGCCACCAAUUUGCAUUUCUCUGAUUACUAAUGAGGUUGAACAUAUGCUUAUUUGUUUGUAAUCUGUAUUAUUGGUAAUCUGUAUUUCUCACUGAAUGACCUAUUUAUAUUGUUGGCCUGUUUUUUUGGGGGGGGGGUUAUUUUCUUUUUCUUAUUAAAAAAAAAACUCCUUAUUAUAUUGUGAAUAAUAAUCCUUUGUUGCCUGUGUUGUAAAUAUUUUCUCUGUGUGUCACUCAACUUUUAACUUGAUGGUUUCUCUUGCUAUAUGGAAAUUAUGUUGGUGUUUGGGGGAGAGUACAACUUUUUAUUUCAUUUAAAUUUAUUUAAAAUUAGAAACACUAGGAACUAGGAAUACAUUUCAAAAACCUACCAAAACUCCAAGUGGAAAACCUGCUUAUCUGAGCUGGGAGCAAUGCCCAGAAUCAAAGCAAAGCAUAGCCAAAGACUCCUAGGUGCCCUUCCUAGGUUUUUUAUCAGGCUAAGAAGUUCUUUCUGACUCAAAGUUCGUAAAAGAUAUUUUUAUUUAUUUUUACAAGUAGUUUUAUUGUUUAGGUUUUUUACAUUUAGGUCUCUAAACCACCUGUAAUUUAUAGGUUACUGAGCCAGUUAUCCUUGUGCUGUUUAUACUGAAUAAUCUAUCUUUCCCCACUGAUUUGAAAUGCCACCUUGAGCAUGUGUGAAAUCCCCUAAGUAGGAACCUGGGCUAUUUUAUGGACUCUGUCCCACUCCACCAAUCUAGCUGUGUUUUUCUCAUCAGUACCACACUACCCAAUUUCCUACAUAGUUUUAUAGUUCUUUUCAAGUUCAUGUGUCAUUUUGUUACAGUUGUUUUUCAAAACUUUCUUGGCUGUUUUCAAACAUUUGCUUUCCAGAUAAACUAGAGAAUCAACUUUCAAAUUUUAAAAAUUCCAUUGAGAUAUUGAUAAAAAUUGCAUUUAAUUUACAGAUCAAUAUGAGAAGAAUUGCCUUUAAAAAAUAGUAAGGCUUCUUAUCAAGCUAUGACUCUCCAUUUACGAAGAUCCAUAUAUGUCUCUCAUUAAAACAUAGUUUUUAAAAAUGAGUUUGAGUACUUCUAUUAAUUUUAUGUCUAGAUAUUUUAUAGUUAUGGUUAUUUUGAAUGGGAUAUUUUUCCAUUGUAUUUUUGAACUGGCUCCUGCUGACACAUAGCAAAACUACGAUUUUUUUGUAUUCCUUUUGCAUUUAAUAUCUGGUAUUACUAUACUUUGUUUACUCAACCUCUCCCCCAUUUCUAGGCAUUAGGUUGUUCCAAAUUUUGAUACGCCAUAAUUAGCAUUGCUAUAAACAUCUUUAAUCAAGGACGUUUUUUCCCUUUAAAUUUCUUCCUAUAAAUGGGAAAAACAGAUUAAAGGGUAUAUGUAACUUCAUAGCUCCUCAUACAUAUUGCUCUGAUGAAUCUCCUGAAGGGCUAGCACCUUUCUGAUUUGCCCAUAAUAACAUCAGCACAUAGGUAACAAUGAUGAAGAUAAUGACAAUGAGGAUAAUUUUUUUUCUUUUUUUUUUUUGAGAGGGCAUCUCAUAUUUAUCGAACAAAUGGUUGUUAA